GUACAUAUAGUAUAAUAAAUAUGCCCGGUUUAGGACUGGGAGAUCUUUGUGUAUU
rnacentral:tRNA from 1 species